rnacentral:sRNA from 1 species
GACCUGCAGUCGUGGAAUCAUGGUGAUC